CCUACGGGAGGCAGCAGUGGGGAAUAUUGCACAAUGGGGGAAACCCUGAUGCAGCGACGCCGCGUGAGUGAAGAAGUAUUUCGGUACGUAAAGCUCUAUCAGCAGGGAAGAAAAAAAGUCCUUUGGACUUUGGACGGUACCUGACCAAGAAGCCCCGGCUAACUACGUGCCAGCAGCCGCGGUAAUACGUAGGGGGCAAGCGUUAUCCGGAUUUACUGGGUGUAAAGGGAGCGUAGACGGCAGCGCAAGUCGAGGGUGAAAUGCCGGGGCCCAACCCCGGAACUGCUUUGGAAACUGUGCAGCUGGAGUGCAGGAGAGGUUAGCGGAAUUCCUGGUGUAGGGGUGAAAUGCGUAGAUAUUAGGAGGAACACCAGUGGCGAAGGCGACUUACUGGACUGUAACUGACGUUGAGGCUCGAAAGCGUGGGGAGCAAACAGGAUUAGAUACCCGAGUAGUC
rnacentral:rRNA from 1 species